rnacentral:sRNA from 1 species
CGCAGGAUGUCUCUGGAUCGGGCGGAUUCUGCCGAUGAAACUCUCUCCUGAACUAGAAGAUAAACCAAAAAUUAAGCCGGUAUAAUCUGAAAGCGACCCUCACUUUGAUAGGAGGGAAAAAAGAGAUGGUAUAUCCCCCCUAAUUCGAUUUUGCCAAACGUGGGACACAAAAUUUCCGCCACCUCAAAUCAACACUUGCAUCUCACAGCAACAGGGCCCAUAGAUCCACAAGAGAUCAAUAACCGAUGUGUUCUCCCGCUGGCUACCUUCAGUCUUGUGAUAUCUCUUCUGGCUUUAAAUUAGAAAAUCUGACUGUGUACCCCUCUUUACUGGACACAGCCAUAUCUCAAUUCGAGAUCAUAUGCGGAU